ACACGACCAAAUUAAGAACUGUUUAACAUCAGAGGGACUAUUACAGCAAUUAAACGCACAACUCCUCUUUGGCGUACAGAUUAAUCCUUCCAAAACGGCGUCACUCUAUUAUGUAUUCAAUUGAAACCAAAACCAAAUAUAAUGUAUAAAUUAAAAUAAUGAUAAAAAUUGAAUUAAAACAAUAUAAAAUACAGAUGGACCUGUUGCGCAAAUGGACCAUUGAGACAAAACGCGCGGAUCCUUCCCUCGGAUCGGGUCAUCGUGCGGGUCUGAGCUCACUACGACGCCGUUU
rnacentral:lncRNA from 1 species